GAUGAACGCUGGCGGCGUGCCUAAUACAUGCAAGUCGAGCGAACAGACGAGGAGCUUGCUCCUCUGACGUUAGCGGCGGACGGGUGAGUAACACGUGGAUAACCUACCUAUAAGACUGGGAUAACUUCGGGAAACCGGAGCUAAUACCGGAUAAUAUAUUGAACCGCAUGGUUCAAUAGUGAAAGACGGUUUUGCUGUCACUUAUAGAUGGAUCCGCGCCGCAUUAGCUAGUUGGUAAGGUAACGGCUUACCAAGGCAACGCUGCGUAGCCGACCUGAGAGGGUGAUCGGCCACACUGGAAGUGAGACACGGUCCAGACUCCUACGGGAGGCAGCAGUAGGGAAUCUUCCGCAAAGGGCGAAAGCCUGACGGAGCAACGCCGCGUGAGUGAUGAAGGUCUUCGGAUCGUAAAACUCUGUUAUUAGGGAAGAACAAAUGUGUAAGUAACUAUGCACGUCUUGACGGUACCUAAUCAGAAAGCCACGGCUAACUACGUG
rnacentral:rRNA from 1 species